AUGAUCAAGGAGAAGAUGCUUGGAAACAAUCAUAAUAUUUCUGUUCUGCAAGCUGAGCUGUGCAAUAAUUUGGACUCUUCACCAUCGUCGCCCUCCUCGACUCUGUCACAAAGUUCCGUGCAUGAAUUUGUGGACCCGCCAGUCGAAACAGAUGCCGCUGUUUGGAAAAUGAUUGCAAGUAGGUGUUUGGGACAGGCUGAACUAGUUAGUUGCCAAGUUAUUGACAUGUAG
rnacentral:lncRNA from 1 species